rnacentral:lncRNA from 1 species
GCCAUUUGUACAACAAUAUAAAUAUCGAAACAGAAAACAAAUCAUAUUAGCCUAAUGGACUACAAUUAUUUUAAUUUUAGUAUUAUAUUGUCCGUACAUAUCUAAAAAUUGUGUACAAUAAUAACUGAAAUAAAAUAAAAACAAAACAGACACUAAUUGACAAUUCUCUCACAACAAAACGAUUCUCAAAUAAUCGAAACCUGAUACACAAAAAAAUGAAAUAAUUAAACAAAUUCAAUACAGGAAUCAAAGUACAACAGAUCCAUUUUAUUUUAAUAAAGUGUAGGUGAAUUAUUCUUAUACCGAUUGAGAAGAGGAAAAAAAAAAAGGAGAUAUAUAUAGUUGAACAUGUUGAGUAAUCUAAAAGAUUGCGGAUAAAGAUUCGAUCAAGUAUAAUUAGGACAAGCAAUGUUCAAUGAUCUUAUAAAUUUAUGUCAUGUACUAUAUAAUAAUUUAUGAUUGAGAUCCAUUAAAAUUAUAUACUCAUUAUAAUUUAAAAAAACAAUAAAGCUAUCAACUAUUUUUAUCUUUUAAAACUACAACCAAAUAGAACAGUUAAGUGUAACCAGACAAAUAUUUUCAAGACAAAAAGUAAAAAUUAACAAAAAUAUGUCCUAUCCUAAAGGAGAAGGAGGAGUAGGAGGAGUCAGUUUUCUUUGAAGAUCGAGGAACGUAGUGUCGGACAAUUAUGCCAUCAUGGGGAUUUCCACUUUUUUGUCUACUUCCAUCCGUAAUACGGAUUUUCCUUACUUUUUAAAUUGUUGUAUCCGAAAAUGAUACUCACGCCCGCUCGGCCUUUUAAUGUUUUACUUCAUAAUUUCUCAAAAACUACAAAUGUAUUCUUGUUUGAAUUUUGAUUUUGUUAGGGUCUGAAAGGAAUUCAUCGAGUAGAUAGUGAAAAUAUAAAUAUCUGAAGAAAACGCAAGUUGAAAUACGGAGAUUGCUUUCCAGUUUUCGCCAGCUGAAUGGCAUUUUCCAAAUUUUAGCUUUUCAAAAAACCAGCAGAUUUUAAAGUCAGUUUCAAAAAAAUUUGGAAAAUUCUUCUCCCCAUUCCAUUAUUUACUUUAGUACUAUAGUGUCCUCUUCUUUUUUUUUUUGGGUCAUGUGUACUAUGACAUCAUCGUAUCAUCAUUGUUAUCAUUCUUUGUUUUUGUUCAAGUUUUAUAUUUUGUUAUAUUUUCCAUUAAAUCUUACACUUUUCCAUUACUAGAGGUGUUAAUUAAAUUCGACUCACAAAAGUAUGUAUCGUGUAAGAAAUUAAAUUUAUCCAUAAUUCAUCAAGUAUCAAGUGUUUGGAUCAAUUUCAAUAAAGUUGUAAAUGUAAAGGCAAAGGAAUAUAAGAUCCAUUAUACUAGCUUUAAUAAACAUAUAAUUCACUUCCUAACCUUCCCUCAAACUAAUCCCUAAAUUUCAAGGGGUCGCUUGGUUGAAAACAAGUUAUCUAAUGGGAUUAAUUAGCUAUCCUGAGAUAACUUAUCCUACCAUGUAUAUGAGCUCAUCACUAUGAUAUGAACGGUGGGAUAAGUUAUCCCAAACAUUACAACCAAACAACAGACAAAAAUUUUAUUCCAUCACUAUUUCCUUAUCCUAUCACUAUUCCUCACACCAAACGACUCCAUAUUUAAAAGUGAAGAAAAUAUACUUUUUUACUUCAUAUUUUAGCAGCUCUUAAUAAAAAUUCUAGCUCUAUCACGUUUCCCUAAUUUAAACCGAGAGAAUAUAUACUUCAAAAAAGAGUUUGAUGCUUUUUAUUCCAUACCAAACAAUCAAAAGAAUGCAUAUUAUAAUGUAUAGGUUAGAAUGGUUAGUAUUAAUUCCACUACACAAAAAAAAGAAAGUAGGCCAUACAGAGAGAGAUGAUGCUGGGCACCUAAGCAAAUAGGACCCUCAACAACUUUCUCUUUCCGUACGUCGACCCGGACACCAAACGUACCCACUCUAUUUUAUUCUAUAAAUACAUUCAUUCUUUACCCCCUCCAAAACCCCCAUUCUCAUUACUCUUUCUUAUUCAAUUUUUGUGCAUCAUUGAAUGUGGGGAGGAAGACUGAUUCAUACCUCAUUAAGUGAUGGAGAGUCCUCAAUAUUAUGCACCACCACAAACUGUGGACUCCUCCUCUCGUCCGUCUCUGGGAUUUCCUCUGGGGACUGCGCUUCUCUUGCUUGUCAUUUUCAGCUUGAGUGGUGUUUUUUCUUGCUGCUAUCAUUGGGACAAAAUACGAGCCCUGCGACGUCGAUCUCUAGCCGAUAUCGAAGCUGGAGAUGAUGAUCCUUCAUCUUUGAAAUCCAAACACAACAAAAUGGUAAGAUCGAAUCGAUCAAAAAAAUGCAUAAUUAACUAAUUCUUAGCUAAAAUAAACAUGAAUUUCAUGAGGUGAUUUCAAUUAAAGGUAAAAUAAACAUGUAUAAUUAAUUGUUCUGUCUUUCUUUGCCAAAUUAUAAGCUUGUGGCUAUACUUAAUUUGGUUAUUCUGUGUUUUACAGGGUGAAAAGCAGAGCCAAUGCCAAAGUAUGCCUGCAGUGUUGAUGCCAGGUGAUGUAGUUCCAAAAUUCAUAGCAAUGCCUUGUCCAUGUCAGCCGCCCAUACCGGAAAAAGUGGUGGUUGAAGAGCAGAAGCCGCCGCAGCCUCAGCCUCCUAAACCAGUUCGUAUGGUAGUGGGAUUACCUUUGUAUUAAUUAAAAAAAAGGCAAAUUACCAACCUAAGCUGUGGUGUAGUGGUGAGAUUGCUUCAUGCUUAAUCAGAAAUCUCGAGUUUGAGCUUUACACUGAAGAGAACUUUAUUGAAAGCGUCACCACCAAAUGGAUCCAAUGG